CGGGGUGCACCAGGCGCGAAAACUUUACAAUGCUGGCAACAGCGAUAAGGGGACCUCGAGUGCCAGGAUACAAUCUUGGCUGUCGCGAUGCCUAAAAAGCAUUGCAUAGCAAGGGCCGGGCAAGACCGGUGCCAGCCGCCGCGGUAACACCGGCGGCUCGAGUGGUAACCGCUAUUAUUGGGUCUAAAGGGUCUGUAGCCGGUCGGAUAAGUCUUUUGGGAAAUCCAGCUGCUCAACAGUUGGGCUUUCAGAAGAUACUGUUCGGCUCGAGACCGGGAGAGGUGAGAGGUACUUCAGGGGUAGGGGUGAAAUCUUGUAAUCCUUGAAGGACCACCAGCGGCGAAGGCGUCUCACCAGAACGGAUCUGACGGCAAGGGACGAAAGCUAGGGGCACGAACCGGAUUAGAUACCCGGGUAGUCCUAGCCGUAAACGAUACUCGCUAGGUGUCAGCCACGGUGCGACCGUGGUUGGUGCCGUAGGGAAGCCGUGAAGCGAGCCACCUGGGAAGUACGGCCGCAAGGCUGAAACUUAAAGGAAUUGGCGGGGGAGCACAAGGGCGAAUUG
rnacentral:rRNA from 1 species